rnacentral:rRNA from 2 species
GACCCGAGCCGUGCCGGAGCUAACGCGUUAAGUAUCCCGCCUGGGGAGUACGCACGCAAGUGUGAAACUCAAAGGAAUUGACGGGGGCCCGCACAAGCGGUGGAGUAUGUGGUUUAAUUCGAUGCAACGCGAAGAACCUUACCAAGACUUGACAUCCUGCGAAUCCCGGUGAAAGCUGGGAGUGCCUUAGGGAGCGCAGAGACAGGUGGUGCAUGGCUGUCGUCAGCUCGUGUCGUGAGAUGUUGGGUUAAGUCCCGCAACGAGCGCAACCCUCGUUUUUAGUUGCCAGCAUUAAGUUGGGCACUCUAGAGAGACUGCCGGUGACAAAC